rnacentral:ncRNA from 2 species
CGCGGGAGAGCGCGCCGGCCCAUCGCGAAUCGCCAUCGGGUGAUUUGCCGGGCAGGCGCCGCCGAAGGAGCAACCGCCCCGGAAUCUCUCAGGCCAAAGGACCGCG